AGAGUUUGAUCAUGGCUCAGGAUGAACGCUAGCGGCAGGCUUAAUACAUGCAAGUCGUGGGGCAGCAUGGUUGUAGCAAUACAACUGAUGGCGACCGGCAAACGGGUGCGGAACACGUACGCAAUCUACCCAGAACUGGUGAAUAGCCCUCCGAAAGGAGGAUUAAUACACCGUAAUAUCAUUGAGUGGCAUCACUUGAGGAUUAAAGCUCCGGCGGUUUUGGAUGAGCGUGCGCCCCAUUAGGUAGUUGGUUGAGGUAAUGGCUCACCAAGCCUGCGAUGGGUAACUGGUGUGAGAGCACGACCAGUCACACGGGCACUGAGACACGGGCCCGACUCCUACGGGAGGCAGCAGUAAGGAAUAUUGGUCAAUGGACGCAAGUCUGAACCAGCCAUGCCGCGUGGAGGAUGAAGGCCCUCUGGGUUGUAAACUUCUUUUAUGGGGGACGAAAUCACUUAUUCUUAAGUGUCUGACGGUACCCCAGGAAUAAGCACCGGCUAACUCCGUGCCAGCAGCCGCGGUAAUACGGAGGGUGCAAGCGUUAUCCGGAUUCACUGGGUUUAAAGGGUGCGUAGGAGGGCAGGAAAGUCAGUGGUGAAAUCUCCGGGCUUAACUCGGAAACUGCCGUUGAUACUACUUGUCUUGAAUAUCGUGGAGGUGAGCGGAAUAUGUCAUGUAGCGGUGAAAUGCUUAGAUAUGA
rnacentral:rRNA from 1 species